rnacentral:rRNA from 1 species
UGAGUAACCUGCCCUGGACUUUGGGAUAACCCUCGGAAACGGGGGCUAAUACCGGAUACGACCUGCCACUGCAUGGUGGUUGGUGGAAAGUUUUUCGGUCUGGGAUGGGCUCGCGGCCUAUCAGCUUGUUGGUGGGGUGAUGGCCUACCAAGGCGACGACGGGUAGCCGGCCUGAGAGGGCGACCGGCCACACUGGGACUGAGAUACGGCCCAGACUCCUACGGGAGGCAG